rnacentral:rRNA from 1 species
UACGUGGGGGGCUAGCGUUGUCCGGAAUCAUUGGGCGUAAAGAGCGUGUAGGCGGCCCGGUAAGUCCGCUGUGAAAGUCGGGGGCUCAACCCUCGAAUGCCGGUGGAUACUGUCGGGCUAGAGUGCGGAAGAGGCGAGUGGAAUUCCUGGUGUAGCGGUGAAAUGCGCAGAUAUCUGGAGGAACACCAGUGGCGAAGGCGGCAUCCUGGCCCUGUCCUGACGCUCAGGGGCGAAAGCGUGGGGAGCAAACCGG